UACGGAGGGGGCUAGCGUUGUUCGGAAUUACUGGGCGUAAAGCGCACGUAGGCGGCGCAGCAAGUCAGGUGUGAAAUCCCGGGGCUCAACCUCGGAACUGCCCUUGAAACUGCAGUGCUAGAAUCUUGGAGAGGCGAGUGGAAUUCCGAGUGUAGAGGUGAAAUUCGUAGAUAUUCGGAAGAACGCCAGUGGCGAAGGCGACUCGCUGGACAAGUAUUGACGCUGAGGUGCGAAAGCGUGGGGAGCAAACAGG
rnacentral:rRNA from 1 species